GAUGAACGCUGGCGGCGUGCCUAAUACAUGCAAGUCGAGCGAACAGACGAGGAGCUUGCUCCUUUGACGUUAGCGGCGGACGGGUGAGUAACACGUGGGUAACCUACCUAUAAGACUGGGAUAACUUCGGGAAACCGGAGCUAAUACCGGAUAAUAUUUCGAACCGCAUGGUUCGAUAGUGAAAGAUGGCCCUGCUAUCACUUAUAGAUGGAUCUGCGCCGGAUUAGCUAGUUGGUAAGGUAACGGCUUACCAAGGCAACGAUACAUAGCCGACCUGAGAGGGUGAUCGGCCACACUGGAACUGAGACACGGUCCAGACUCCUACGGGAGGCAGCAGUAGGGAAUCUUCCGCAAUGGGCGAAAGCCUGACGGAGCAACGCCGCGUGAGUGAUGAAGGUCUUCGGAUCGUAAAACUCUGUUAUUAGGGAAGAACAAACGUGUAAGUAACUGUGCACGUCUUGACGGUACCUAAUCAGAAAGCCACGGCUAACUACGUG
rnacentral:rRNA from 1 species